rfam:Myotis davidii contig34659, whole genome shotgun sequence.
GGCGGUUCUUGGGUGACGCACCUCAGAAUCAGGCUCCCUCCUCUCUGGUUCUGCAUGUGUCAUCUGAGAACCACA